GGACGAACGCUGGCGGCGUGCUUAACACAUGCAAGUCGAGCGGUAAGGCCCUUUCGGGGGUACACGAGCGGCGAACGGGUGAGUAACACGUGGGUGACCUGCCCUUAGCUCUGGGAUAAGCCUGGGAAACUGGGUCUAAUACCGGAUAUGACCCCAUGACGCAUGUUGUGGGGUGGAAAGCCUUGUGCGGCUAGGGAUGGGCCCGCGGCCUAUCAGCUUGUUGGUGGGGUGAUGGCCACCAAGGCGACGACGGGUAGCCGGCCUGAGAGGGCGACCGGCCACACUGGGACUGAGACACGGCCCAGACUCCUACGGGAGGCAGCAGUGGGGAAUCUUGCGCAAUGGGCGAAAGCCUGACGCAGCGACGCCGCGUGGGGAUGACGGCCUCGGUGU
rnacentral:rRNA from 1 species